rnacentral:rRNA from 1 species
UUGAACGCUGGCGGCAUGCCUAACACAUGCAAGUCGAACGGUUUUGGAGCUUGCUCCAAGAUAGUGGCGGACGGGUGAGUAACGCGUAGGAAUCUGCCUUGUAGAGGGGGACAACCCGGGGAAACUCGGGCUAAUACCGCAUAAUAAUCGAGAGAUGAAAGGGUGGGACCUUCGGGCCACUCGCUAUAAGAUGAGCCUGCGUUGGAUUAGCUAGUUGGUGGGGUAAAGGCCUACCAAGGCGACGAUCCAUAACUGGUCUGAGAGGAUGACCAGUCACACUGGGACUGAGACACGGCCCAGACUCCUACGGGAGGCAGCAGUGGGGAAUAUUGGACAAUGGGGGCAACCCUGAUCCAGCAAUGCCGCGUGUGUGAAGAAGGCCUGCGGGUUGUAAAGCACUUUUAGCGAUGAGGAAGGGGUUUAUGUUAAUAGCAUAAAUCAUUGACGUUAGUCGCAGAAAAAGCACCGGCUAACUCUGU